GGGUUAAAAUUUUGAAUAAAAUUCGAGCAAAGGGAAAUAUUCGUGUAUGAAAUAUAUUUUUUGAAAUAAUUUGUCUAUUUAUUCGUUUUUUUUUUGUUCUUGUUUUCAGAAUUACAGGGAAUUGAGGGAUGCCCACCUGCAUCAUCGUCUGUGGAUGUUCCUGAGCCAACUGGGGCGUCAUCCUCGAAUGAAAAUGUUCAGGAGGAAACAGGGGAAGAGGCGAUUGAGGCUCCCGAAAAUUUAGAGCCCUUAGUGGCGGUUGAGCCGGCCGAAGCACAGCCAGAAGGAGGAAACGGGGGAGGAGGAGAGGAGCCAGUAGUAGCUGGUCCCCCUCAGCAGCCAGGAGUAGCUGGUCCCGCUCAGCAGCCAGCAGAUCGAAUCGGAGAAACAAGGACUGCUCUUGGUCCUGGAGGUAACCCAAUAAUUACUCAUGACUAUUGGGACCCAAGGGGUACCCUGCGUUCCCUGCGCUGCUCCCCUUAUUCUGCACUUUUAAAAUCGAAAAGGAAAAUUGGGUGGCAUGCAGUGUGCCAUCGACCAUCAUGUCAUUUUUACAACGUGCAUUUCUGGUCCAUGCGAAUGGACCUAGAAGAUGUUCUCGAAAAAGUGAACCAGAAUAUUGCGGUUGGGGAAUCACCGGUGAAUUUUCAUUUUCGAUUUAGGGAGUUAUUCCCCCAUACAUUCCAUAUGUAUGGAUUUCUUAGGGAGUAUUUCAUCCAUUUCAAGCCACCAGUGGCUGAAGGGAAGUUGUUUCUCCCUAGCCGCCGAUGAACAAUUUUUUUGGA